AGUGAACGCUGGCGGUAGGCCUAACACAUGCAAGUCGAACGGCAGCACAGUAAGAGCUUGCUCUUAUGGGUGGCGAGUGGCGGACGGGUGAGGAAUACAUCGGAAUCUACUUUUUCGUGGGGGAUAACGUAGGGAAACUUACGCUAAUACCGCAUACGACCUACGGGUGAAAGCAGGGGAUCUUCGGACCUUGCGCGAUUGAAUGAGCCGAUGUCGGAUUAGCUAGUUGGCGGGGUAAAGGCCCACCAAGGCGACGAUCCGUAGCUGGUCUGAGAGGAUGAUCGGCCACACUGGAACUGAGACACGGUCCAGACUCCUACGGGAGGCAGCAGUGGGAAAUAUUGGACAAUGGGCGCAAGCCUGAUCCAGCCAUACCGCGUGGGUGAAGAAGGCCUUCGGGUUGUAAAGCCCUUUUGUUGGGAAAGAAAAGCAGCAGGUUAAUACCCCGCUGUUCUGACGGUACCCAAAGAAUAAGCACCGGCUAACUUCGUG
rnacentral:rRNA from 1 species